rnacentral:rRNA from 1 species
CCUAACACAUGCAAGUCGAACGGUAACAGGAAGAAGCUUGCUUCUUUGCUGACGAGUGGCGGACGGGUGAGUAAUGUCUGGGAAACUGCCUGAUGGAGGGGGAUAACUACUGGAAACGGUAGCUAAUACCGCAUAACGUCGCAAGACCAAAGAGGGGGACCUUCGGGCCUCUUGCCAUCGGAUGUGCCCAGAUGGGAUUAGCUAGUAGGUGGGGUAACGGCUCACCUAGGCGACGAUCCCUAGCUGGUCUGAGAGGAUGACCAGCCACACUGGAACUGAGACACGGUCCAGACUCCUACGGGAGGCAGCAGUGGGGAAUAUUGCACAAUGGGCGCAAGCCUGAUGCAGCCAUGCCGCGUGUAUGAAGAAGGCCUUCGGGUUGUAAGAGG